UUUUUGCAAUCGUCAAGCGGCUGAGUUUGAUUAGCGUGAAAAAUGGGCAUGUCAAGGCCCCGGCAAAUAACACACAGUAGUUUUUUUAGGAUAAUAACAAAUAGUGUACAUGGUACGCUCAUUUUAUCCUGAUUGUAUUCUUUGUCGACUAUUUUGCAAUCACCAUGCCACUUUUUUAGUUAUAUGUAUUUCAUUUUUGCGUUGGGAAGAAUGUGAGUUGAACUUCAGCAACUUAUAAAUUGGUCCCAUUGCACAUUCGAAAUGGUCAUCCAUUGGAAGUACCCAAGCAGGAUGGUGAAAACUUGCUACCAUAUCUGUAUAUACAAUUAAGGUUUUGUUACAAGCUGCUGGUCGUUAAGUUGUUUGUUGGGGAAGAGUAAGACGCUGAAGUGACAUCUCAGUUUACUUGUACAGAAUACUUGUUCAGUAAGGAUUUUAACGAAUAGUUAAUUUCAGGUCUAAGCGAAUAUACACUUCUAUAUGUGCAGGGCCUUUUUUUAUGUAUCUCUUUUUGUGGGUUGAAGUGAAUAAGUAUGAAGAUGUAGACCAUUUUAUUCUGGACAUCCGUUUUAGCCAUUGUACGCUGUUGCUCCUAUAUUUACUUAGCCAUUCUUACCAUGCCUGUUUAAAUAUGUUCUCUGCACGAUGCAACAAUACAGUCAUUUAAUUCAUUUUCUUCCUUUCUUGGGAUAUAGCUUUUUGUUGAUAAGUCUUGCAGCUUGUUACCCAUUGAUUGUGUUGAUUGUUCAGCAUUGUUAGUUGUUAAGGCUUACUAUUUUACUGAUUGUGGUUGCAGCACCCACCUAUUAUUGACAAGGGAUCAUCUAGAAUAUCACUAGCUAAAACCUUCAUCUGAUCUCACUAAGCAAGAAUCUGAGGCAACUCUUCAUGGCUGAAACCAUGCAUCUUUCGGUGGUAAAACUGAUAGUCUGAUCACAAGUCGGCUCACGUCUUGUUCACCUCUCUUGAUCUUCUUGGAGUCGUCGUGACCAAGUGAAGGUAAGCUGUGGUGAUGCCAGUUGAGAGGUUGUGAAUGAACAAGCUUUUUCCCCUGCCUGGAAGGUUGUAUGUUUACCAUGAGGAGGGAAUAUUAUGCAUUUGCAUCUGCUUACCUACCAUCUGAAAAGCUGCUGCUGGAAGUGUUCUUGGUAACACCUGCCCUUCCCCAUGUUUACUUACAGUUGCAAAUACAAUACGUGUGCCUACACCGAAGAUCAGCAUCAGGCCAAAAGGCUGUUAGUACCUUAGACUCGCUUUAAAUCUUUGCCAUAUAAUAUAAUUUGACUAGAAGGCUGAAAGACGGCUGAAGAGUGGAAUUAUUUUCUUCUAAUACGAUCACGCCAACACAAAAAUGAUGAUAUCAUAUUGUGUUGUGUCCCCCUAGAUCAUUUUGUUUGUUCAGGUUCUGUCAAGUUUAUGAACACAAAAACUGCUUGCAUGUGUAUUUCAUAAGAUUAUUGUUCCAAGAUUAAAUGUUUGGGCGCAGCAUGUAUGUAUUCUUUUGGCUAAAUAUGGUGGGUGCUUUUCUUUUCGAUUGUGUGGCAGGUGUUGGGGUGCCCUCUGUUGGCUAUCCUGUUUGUUAGGUUUUCCCCUGUAGUUGAACCUGACUAAGUUAUUUGCCAUAGUUUUUUUUGGCUGAUGAGAAGGCGUAUCACUAUGAUUUCAAUUUUGAAGUUUCAAUACUCCUUUUUACGUCUCAUUUUCUUGCCGAAUAUUUUUUAUUUACACUGAAAACGGUUGCUUCUUAACUAUGAAGCGUGAUAGCCAUCAUUUUCCAUGUGCUGCUGCUGAUUACUUAUUCAACUCUCCUUUUUGGUUCUAAACUUAUGUCUAGGAUGACUAGGCUGAUGUAACCGAGUACAAGUUUCAACGCUACCGAGUUAGGCACUUGCACUUACAUUUCUAAAACAAGUCAUGGAAAUGCAACCUCUUGACACUCUUAAUUUUGUGCAUAUACUUGGUCCUGCUUGAGUCAACCUGUCAGUAAUUAUGUGUGUUUUCUUUCUGAUAUUGAAUUCAUGUUCUCUUACUUAUUGGCUAGCCAAAUUGACUUUGGCAUCUAGCUUACAUGCAGCUCAUUCUUUGUGCAACUAGUCACUUACUUAUCAGCAAAGACUACUAGUCAAAUUCUUUUGACCCGCUAUACCGUCAUACUACAUGCAUUUUUCACCUUCUUCUUUGCUCUUCAUAGCUGCAUCCAUGCAGCUUUACUGCCUAGGAUAUUUCUUGCCAGCAUGCAGGCACGAUUAAUGUUAACAACUAGUACUACUUGUAGCAAUAUUAGAACUAACAAAUAGUGAACUACAAAUAAGCAAAAAACUUUAACAGGUACAGGGUAACCAUCAAACAAAUGGCGCAGCGAAGCGUGCUUACGCUUCUAGGUAUAUGAUCAUAUCUCCAACCAUAUUAUAUAAAUUUGAGGCAAUUUUGAAUAAGAACACGAAAAAAUUUGUCGUUGAAAUCAGAAUCAUAUAUUGGUAUAUCAAGCCCCUAAGUGCUACAAAGAUUAACUAAUCUGCAGACAUGCAGGCGCACAUUGACCACAAAAAUUCUAUAUAUCUUUUCCCUAGAAAUACCAAACAUGGCUACUAGCUAGAUUCUUAUUUUCACCAUGUGCUUAGUAUCCUAUAAAUUUAAACGACAGUACUUUCCAUGGCUGAGCUGUUGACCCAGGCACACCCCAUACAAGCACUUGAUACCUGCCGACCUUAUUAUUCUCAUCUGCAGCUUUUAUCUCAAGAAAGUAGUUGUUGCCAAUUCCCGAAGGCUGCAUGCUCACAUACAACACAUCGACAAGGGUCAUCUCCUUCUUGUAUACCAACUUGUGCAUUAAUACCGCAAAGCGUGCGAUUUGCCAGUACAAAGUGUCACGGAAGUUAUGAACUUGCACCCAUCCAUUAGUACCAGUAGGGGGACCAGGUGGUGACGUUGUUGCUGAAGGACUAGGUGGUGGUGGUGUCGGUGCCGGCGGCGGUGGUUGGUUAGCUUGGUACAUUGGAGGUGUGGCAGGUGGACUUAAUGGUGAUGAUGGCGAUGGUGGAGGAGGUUGCUCAUUAGUCGGGGACA